AUAUUAAGAAUCUGAGACAACUGGGCAUGGUGGCUCAUGCCUAAAAUUCCACAACUUUGGGAGACCUAGGUAGGAGAAUCGCUUGAGCCCAAGAGUUCCAGACUAGCUUGGGCAACAUAUAAAUCCUUGGCUGAUAGAUGCAAUGAAAGGUAAGACACACUCCCUCUCCUGUUUCCUCGAAGGAGACAAUCUCAAACACCUUCCAAUCAUAGCAUCAAGCACACAGUCCAGGAUCCUUGGAUUUUUCAGGUGGGCUGAAUGUAAUCAUGUGAUCCCUGGAAACAGAAGAGGAAAGUAGAAGAGUCCAACAGAGAGAUAUGGCAGAAUGAGAAAAAAAGCAGAAGAGGU
rnacentral:lncRNA from 1 species